UUUCUUUCUUCAAUUUAAUUGAAGUUACUUAGAAAAAUAAUCAGGCUUGAAUGGCUUUUUUAAGGAAAGAUUCAUGAGCAGUUCACACUUGUGUUGGCAAUGUAUAAUUUAGCUUUUUUUCUUUAUUAACAGUAUAUUUAGGUAUGAGGAGAUACUUUUCUACAACAAGCCUUCUACUGCAUACAAAUAGGUUAAAAAAAAAAAAAAUCCAACCCCACAUCGAUGUUAAAUUAUUCGUACACAUUGUAUUGUGCAUGCAUGUAAGAAAAUAACACUCUCUGUAACAAGAGUAAUAGUAAGGACAGUCCCUUUUUGUACCUGAAAAGUGCAGCAGACUACAGUGAAACCCUAAAACACCUGGGGUCAACUUAAUUCUAAAAGCAGUUCUGCUUGUGGAUUAUUUAUUUCACUUGUCUUACACAGCGCAUGGUUCAGGCAGUUUGCACGUUUCUGUGAUCAUAAUGGACAUGGUUUACGAAGAGGAUAAAGCAUGGACCAAGUCAGGUGUGGGGGGACCUCGUACUGCCCAGGAGUCACCACCAUGUUCAGAUGAGCCAAAUCCAGCCUGGGCUCCAGGUUAAGGUGCUUAGGGCCAUCUGUGGGGGAAAGAACCCUCAACUUGUGGGUAUUGUGCUGGGUAAGGAGCCAUAGGCACUGCUGGGGUGACAGGGAGCCACUGGCUGCUCAGAGAUGGCGAUUGCUGCUCCUCCAGGCCAGAGGCUUUGAGGGGGCUGGGGACCAAAGUGGGGAGCAGGACCUUCCCCAGUAGGUGCUCCACCAUAACGAAUGCACAUCCCCCUAACACGGCAGCUCCCCGGGCGGCCCUCACAGUCCCACAGUCCCAUCUGUACUUCACAUUUUGCGGUGGCUGCAGUUUUUGCCUGUUUGUCUCCUGGGACCAGCUGUGGCCAGAGCAGAAAUGAACUUGGGAGGGAGGCAGAGCCUGGGAGCAGACCAGCCCCUCUUGUCCUCCAGCUGAGAAACCCAGGGAAGAGGUCAGGGUAAAAUCAACCUGGAUCCCCGGCUGCCCCUGCACUGCAGGUGGUGGCUGCCAGCUUACUGAGAUAAGGAAGAUCGACCUUGAACAUCCUCCUGUGUGGCUGCAGUGGAAAGAGAGAUUUUUCUGGCUCAGUCAAAACAACACACCCAGCAGACCAAAGAAAAGGCUAUUCC
rnacentral:lncRNA from 1 species